UUCAUAUAGCCGAUCCCACUCAGUGACUUGGAUUUUCCAAGUCUCCAACCAAGAAGUUUUCCUCACUCGGGAACUUAAGGGAACACUACCCCAACCUACAUGCUCCACUCAGAAAGCUUCAACAUACAAGCUUCAACAAAAGAAAAUUUAAAGAACUUAGCGAAGAAGGCUUUGGUGUAUUUAACACAAUACGUUGAAAUGAAGGAAAGCUUAUUUA
rnacentral:lncRNA from 1 species